rnacentral:rRNA from 1 species
CCUGGGAAACAGAUGCUAAUACCGGAUAACAACAGAUGAUGCCUAUCAACUGGUUUAAAAAAGAUGGGUUCUGCUAUCACUCUUGGAUGGACCUGCGGUGCAUUAGCUAGUUGGUAGGGUAACGGCCUACCAAGGCGAUGAUGCAUAGCCGAGUUGAGAGACUGAUCGGCCACAUUGGGACUGAGACACGGCCCAAACUCCUACGGGAGGCAGCAGUAGGGAAUCUUCCACAAUGGACGCAAGUCUGAUGGAGCAACGCCGCGUGAGUGAAGAAGGGUUUCGGCUCGUAAAAGCUCUGUUGUUGGUGAAGAAGGACAGGGGGUAGUAACUGACCUUUGUUUGACGGUAAUCAAUUAGAAAAGUCACGGGCUAACUACGUGCCAGCAGCCGCGGUAAAU